UCGUGCACUUAGGCCUAUAUUCUAGCUGUUACCGUCGUGUGUGUGCAGUGAUAAUGUUUCUCGUCUAGUACCAUUGCAAGAUUUGCUGCCGUUUAAAAUUACUGGACAUUUCUUUAUCGAAUUAUCACUAGCACCUUUAAAUCCGUUGCUGACAACCGUAAUAAACAUCAAUUAACUGUAAUGCGAGUGGAUGUUCGUUCCUUAGACUAGAAUACUUUGUAGAAUUAUAAACGACUUGUUUAGGGUCUCUAGAAUUAAAAAUUGGAUAUGCACAUUAGAUUACACAAACUUGGAGCCACAUACUCAUACAAACACCCACCUACACACACACACACACACACACACACACACACACACACAUCAGCACAAUCUCAGUGGCUCACUUAUGUCGGAUAGCCUGAAUGUUUACUGAGUAGCGACAGCUCAUUUCUUCCCAAAAUCUCUCUCUCUCUCUCUCUCUCUCUCUCUCUCUCCUCUCUCUCUCUCUCCAGUCAGAACAAUAAGAAUUAUAAUUAUAAUUCAACCAGUAUUUCGCGGAGAUAGACGGAUGCCUAUUCAUAAUUCUUGUUUUUUUUCUUUUUUUCUUCUUUUUUACUUUUUCGAAUCGUUUUUGCUAACAUAUUUUUUCCUAUAUAGUUUCCUGGACAGCCAUUAGUUUUAUUAACUGACUCGCUCUAAGUUACAGUUAAGGAAGCGAAUGCCAUCUUCAUUUUCUAUGUAUUUUUCCAAAUAUCCUUAAUUGAUAGUACUACACUCUUUAGAUCGGCCCUCCUCUUCGGCACUGUAGGUCUAAGCGCUGGCUAUGUUGAUGACCGUGGCGAUUACGUUCACAACGAAGUUGCCUGUGACUACAACGCUGGUUUCACGGCGGCUCUGGGUGCCAUGAUAGAAAUCAACAUGAGGAGUUAACUACUAUAGCUAAGUGCCACAAGAUCCAUCAGAACAGCAACAACUGAGGCGGUGCUGGAAACAAUGAGGAACAUCGGAAGAACACCCAUCAGCGACGCAUGUGGACGAGUUAGUUCCAUUUCAAUGUAGUAGAUCUGUUUAAACGAGAAAGCCUUUCAACAGCUAACUCUACUGCCUGCAUGCACUGUUCUAAAAAUGAAAGCUAUCGAGGAGAUGGUUCUUUGUGCAAUUCUAACUUUUCUGUAUUUUGAAAAUUAAUUACAAGUAUACUGCCAAA